UUCACUUAUAUUACAACUACAUAGCAUCUUAGUUCUGACAUUUCUUGUCUCCUUAUUGCUUGCAGGUCUCAUUUACUGGACAAGGGGAAACACAGUCCAUGAAACAGUUGUCUGGGGGUCAAAAAACUGUUGUUGCCCUUACUCUUAUCUUUGCCAUACAGCGAUGUGAUCCUGCUCCCUUUUAUCUAUUUGAUGAGAUUGAUGCAGCUCUGGACCCACAGUACAGAACUGCUGUUGGAAAUAUGAUUCGUCGCUUGGCUGACGUAGCAAACACUCAAUUUAUCACAACAACAUUUCGCCCAGAGCUAGUGAAAGUUGCUGACAAAAUAUACGGUGUAACACAUAAAAACAGGGUCAGUCGUGUUAAUGUUGUAUCCAAAGAAGAUGCAUUGGAAUUUAUUGAGCAUGACCAGACGCACAAUGCUGAAUAAGGUGCUUUCACUCACACGUUAUGAAGUAGAUGUCAACACUAGGCACUCUUGGAAGAUUGUUUUUGUAGAGAUUGCAGACUCAAGUUCAUUCAAAUUCCUCGACCUACUAUUUUUCUGUCGUGUAGUGGCUGGUGUGAGGCCAACCCUUGGCCAAUUCUUGUCUGUUGUAAGUUACGAUUAUGUGAAAGUGAAUCAUGAUUCCAAUGAACCUUUCCGAAUCCUAGGGAAAAAGUACUUUAUGUAAUAUGAUUACACUAUUCCUAACUCCGUAGAUGGUCUUCAUAAUUUAGUCAAUAUC